rnacentral:lncRNA from 1 species
AGGAGAAGAAGAUACAAAGAUGUUUACAGCAGAAGAAAAGGAGAAAGAUUACAUGUGAUUUUUGUUGCACCUUAAAACAUAACCAUGACAGCAGCGAUUUGAACUCGAGGAAAGCUAACCUCAAGCCUCAAAGCAGUGUAAUGGCAGCCAUAAGAUCUGCGCAAUAGGAUGCUAAAAAGGACUCUAGAAUCUUGCUUUUCCUAUACUUGCCAACAGAUCGCCAGUACGAACCGAUCCCAGGCCUUCUUGUAUUUCUUGUUAAUUCGCUUCUUCUUCAAUGUGGUCCAAAAUGAGAGUAGGGUAAAAGAUCUACUCUUAAUAUCAAGUGCAGCUUUGAGAUCGGUCCAUAUUCUCCUG